rnacentral:rRNA from 1 species
UACGUAGGCAGCGAGCGUUGUUCGGAAUUACUGGGCGUAAAGAGUGUGUAGGCGGUGCUCUAAGUUCGGUGUGAAAUCUCCUGGCUCAACUGGGAGGGUGCGCCGGAAACUGGAGUGCUUGAGCGUGGGAGAGGAAAGCGGAAUUCCUGGUGUAGCGGUGAAAUGCGUAGAUAUCGAGGAGGAACACCUGUGGUGUAGACGGCUUUCUGGACCAUAGCUGACGCUGAGACACGAAAGCGUGGGUAGCAAACAGG